GCAAAAUAACUCAUCUGAUGAGCAGUUGCUAAUAAUCCUGUCGUUCAGCCAUGUGUACAACUAUGUAGCAGGCUUCUUUAAAAAUCUCCACUCGUAGCAACAGCGGUAGCCCAGUUCCUUUGGUGAUCAGUGCUGGAGUACAUGCGCAGCAAUGAACUGAUGAAAGGAAUAGUUUGCUUAAUAAUAAUCAGGAUUGACAGAAGAUGACUUCCAGGCAACAACAGACAUGAAAAUAUAGCGACACAAACAGAUAUUAUAGAUUUAAUUCAGUGAUUUGAAAUACAUCAGCCAACAUAAUUCCCAC
rnacentral:lncRNA from 1 species